GUAUGUAUGUUUGUGUAUAUGUACAUGUGUAUACAUAUGAAUGGCCCCUACGCUAAUUGGGUUUUGUUUUUCUUUCUUCAUGUCUCGUCCUUGUCUCCGAGGACACUUGAGACAAACAGACCCAGUUCCGGUAAAUGUGAAAGUCAGCACACCUCUGACUCACCGGCAGACCGUCAACGUGAUGCCCAGCUGAUGCAUGACCAACGACCACCAGCAGAACCCGCUUUACCUCCGCCUAAUCUCCUUAAUCGUUUCAAUGUAUAUAUAAAUAUAUCUCCCAAGGGUUUUUACCUCCUAAGACUUUUUUUACUUCCCCUGCUGAGUCUGGGGUUUUUUUCCUCAUAGGGGGUUUUUCAACCCGGGGAGGCAGCCUUCUUGGGCUUAACUUAGCACCCUCUUCUUUACGUUACAUUAGCAAUACGCACGCUUAUAAUGUUGAUUCAUAGCCGCAGCAAAUUUAGCUGCUAUCGUGUAUUAUGUUGUGCUAUCUGUCGUUUUUCUAUGCUUUCCACUGCUUCUAUUAUUGUAAAGCUGCUUUGAAACAAUCACAAAUUGUGAAAAGCGCUAUAUAAAUAAAAUUGAAUUGAAAGAGAAAUGGAGGAACAUUUUGUGGACUGAUGAGAGUAAAAUUGUUCUUUUUGGGUCCAAGGGCCACAGGCAGUUUGUGAGACGACCCCCAAACUCUGAAUUCAAGCCACAAUACCAGUGGUGGACAGUAACGAAGUAAAUGUAAUUCGUUACUGUACUUAAGUAGUUUUUUCGCGUAUCUGUACUUUACUCAAGUACUUUUAUUUUGGGAGACUUUUACUUUUACUUUACUACAUUUUAAAGUCAAAUAUCUUACUUUUUACUCCACUACAUUUUGAAAAUUCGGUCGUUCCUUUUUAUUUAUCAGUGGAUAAAAAAACUUAACUGGAUAAAAUAAAGCUGCAAAAAAAAAAAAAA